CGCACCAGAGGGGAGGGGCCGAUCAAGGGAACCGAACCAGGGAGCUCCAAUCAGGAACCCAGUAGCGUGUCCCAGGAGACCUUGCAAAGUUGCGUGUGACACCACUCGCGGACAGCAGGUGGACGCGAGGAGAGGCGUCUCGACUCCGACGCUGCACCUCUACCUCCCUUCGUCACGCUGUGAAGAGGAGGACGACGACGACGCGGCCAGUGAGAACUCGAGGCCUAUUCAAGAGGACGUUAGUCUCCAACACGGCGCAGAUGGUAUCGAUGUACAGAUCAUCUCAGAAAGACCCAGGACCCAGGACCUUUCCAACAACACGAGUCCGCAAGAUUCAGCAGAGACCCUCCGAAUGCAAGAACCUGCGUUCCUCUCUGUGCUGCAGGACCCCUCGGAUGACAUCAGACCGCAAGACUCCGGAGAGGAAGUCCGGUCUCUGGACCCCAAUGUAAACCACGGGUUACAGGAGAUCACAGGCGCCCCAGCCUGCCUCCCAGCCCCGAAAUCAGGUCCACAUGGACGUGACAUGGAGCAGGGGAAGAUAUGCAACCCUCUCCUGAUAACGCCUGCAGCUGUUCAUAAAGGGAGGCCCCCCACAUCUGUUCGGCACCAUGUGUCUUACAAGCAGGGCCCGGAUAGACUCCCCCAAAUAAAAACGAUCAAGACACUUGUGUGGGGCUUCCAUGGCCCUCGGGAGGUUAAGAGUGUGUGUGUCCUGCAAGACUGCUUGGGUAGAUACAGAACUAAUCAAACAUGAUCCUGCCUCUCACAUUUGAUCCCUGGAUGAUUCGUCUGUUGAGAUAGCCAUCUACCCUUGGGGUAGAACCCCUAACGGAUGCUUCGCUGAGAAGCUCUCAGAUCCCAGACCGCAACACACAUGAGGAGUGGCGUUCGGGUGAAAAAAUUUAAUCUCGCAGGACUAGAUCCAAAGGAUAAGAGGAUAUUGUGAUCUUACUUCCAGUUCACAGAAAGAAAAUAUUUGCAUUGGUCUCUCUGAGUGAAGAUGUCAAUACCCUUACGACAAAGCAUGUAAACACAUGUGAACACGGCCUGCUAGCUCCAGGGCCCUACAGGACUGAUAUCAUCAGAGCACAAACAAACCACAACCAAGAGGGGAUUGUGUUCUUAUUGUGACGAGGUUUCCUCAACUGUCCAGACCCACUCAGUCACAGGAGCAAUAGCAUGGCACUGAUGGUGCAGAGGACGGAACUGAAACAGAAGACCUGGGUAAAUACAAACGCAUGCCAGGGAAAAUAAAACACCAACAGGGAAUUACAGUGUUCUGGAUUCUCUUCCAGUUUUGGUGUGAAAACAGAGUCGGUGAACAACAUUCAGUCACGCAACCACCACAGACGAGGAGAAACUAAACCCAUCUAUUGAGAAAGAGGUGUCGAGUGUGAAGUGUAAACCCAUGUUUUAAGAGUUGUGCUUUUCUGCAGUUAUCAACAAAACACGCGGGGCCAAUACAUAGAUCCAAAAACCUUUAUUUUAACUUGAAUACCGCCUAUCACAACAUUGGGGCUAUCGACUGAGUAUGACGAUAUCAUUCAUGGUACUGUAUUUGUUCGCCAACAAAAUAUGGUUUAAUUAAAUUACCCUUCCAUUAGUCUUAUGAUCGGAGUUUGGAAAAACCAUAGAAGGGAUAUGUUGCCCCCUUGUGGAUCACCUGGUAAUUACAUUCAGCUAACAGCCUCUUGUCAACAUCCAUGUAUUAUGGUACUCAUUCAUCUACUUGUUGAAACUCAUGAAGAGCUACACUUCCCAUUAAGUGUAAAAUUACUGUUUAGACAUGAGCACAAUAACUGAUCCACUAUUCAGACGACAUUGAACCUGUCAACUACACUCAUUCAUGUAACCUUCACUUGAAGUUUCAUGACUUUAGGUCAGAUAACUGUAAUAUCAAGACUCAGACAGCCAAAUCCUACAGAGAAUCUCCCAGUCGAGCUCAGGUAUAGAGGGGUUGGGUUGCUAAUAAUUUAUAACAACAUAAUGUGAUAUUUUUAAAAAAUAUUAAAUAUCCGUAUAUGUUGAUUGUAUGCACAUUCCUGCCACAGUAAAUUCCUUGUUUGUGUGAACUUAAAUGGCGAAUAAAACAAAUUCUGAUUAAAAAGAUUAGU